UAGUUGCCUUUACGGAGCAGGCGGUG
rnacentral:piRNA from 1 species